GAUGAACGCUGGCGGCGUGCCUAAUACAUGCAAGUCGAGCGAAUGGAUUGAGAGCUUGCUCUUAUGAAGUUAGCGGCGGACGGGUGAGUAACACGUGGGUAACCUGCCCAUAAGACUGGGAUAACUCCGGGAAACCGGGGCUAAUACCGGAUAACAUUUUGAACCGCAUGGUUCGAAAUUGAAAGGCGGCUUCGGCUGUCACUUAUGGAUGGACCCGCGUCGCAUUAGCUAGUUGGUGAGGUAACGGCUCACCAAGGCAACGAUGCGUAGCCGACCUGGGAGGGUGAUCGGCCACACUGGGACUGAGACACGGGCCAGACUCCUACGGGAGGCAGCAGUAGGGAAUCUUCCGCAAUGGACGAAAGUCUGACGGAGCAACGCCGCGUGAGUGACGAAGGCUUUCGGGUCGUAAAACUCUGUUGUUAGGGAAGAACAAGUGCUAGUUGAAUAAGCUGGCACCUUGACGGUACCUAACCAGAAAGCCACGGCUAACUACGUGCCAGCAGCCGCCGUAA
rnacentral:rRNA from 1 species